GAUGAAGAACGUAGUGAAAUGCGAUAAUUAAUGUGAAUUGCAGAAUUCAGUGAAUCAUCGAGUCUUUGAACGCACAUUGCGCCCGCCAGUAUUCUGGCGGGCAUGCCUGUUCGAGCGUCAUUUCAACCAUCAAGCCCCCGGCUUGUGUUGGGGACCUGCGGCUGCCGCAGGCCCUGAAAAGCAGUGGCGGGCUCGCUGUCACACCGAGCGUAGUAGCAUACAUCUCGCUCCGGGCGUGCUGCGGGUUCCGGCCGUUAAACCACCUUCAUAACCCAAGGUUGACCUCGGAUCAGGUAGGAAGACCCGCUGAACUUAAGCAUAUCAAUAAGCGGAGGA
rnacentral:misc_RNA from 1 species